GGCCGCACACGGAGGAGCUUCGCUCUCUGGGUGGCUAGUGCGCGUGACGAGCGUGGAGCGAAUACAUCCGAAUCUACUUUUUCAUGGUUGGAUAACGUACCGGAAACUUACCCUAAUACCGCAUUACGACCUACGGGUGAGCCCUGGGGAUCUUCGGACCUGUGACACGAUUGAAUGAGCCGAUGUCGGAUUACGCUAGUUGGCGGGGUAAAGGCCCACCAAGGCCGACGCAUCGCGCUAGCUAGGUCUGAGAUGGAUGAUCAACCACACUGGAACUGAGUACACGGUCCAAACUCCUACGGAAGGCAGCAGUGGGGAAUAUUGGACAAUGGGCGCAAGCCUGAUCCAGCCAUACCGCGUGGGUGAAGAAGGCCUUCGGGUUGCAAAGCCCUUUUGUUGGGAAACAAAUCCAACUGGUUAGUACCCGGUUGGAAUGAAGGCCCCCAAAGAAUAAGCGCCGGCUAACUUCGUGCCACCAGCCGCGGUAAUACUAAUGGUGCUAACGUUACUCGGAAUUACUGGGCGUAAACCGUGCGUACGUGGGCGAUUAAGUCCGUUGUGAACCCCCAGGUCUCUACCUGGGAACUGCACUGGAUACUGGUCGACUAGAAUGUGAUACAGGGUAGCGGAAUUCCUGGUGUAGAAGUGAAAUGCAUACAGAUCAGGGAGGAGCAUCCAUGGGGAACGCAGCUGCCUGGACCAUCCUUGACACUGAGGCACAAAAGCGUGUGGAGCAACCGGGAUUACAUACCCUGGUAGACCACGCCCUACACGAUGCGAACUGAAUGUUGGGUGCAAUUUGAAACGCAGUAUCAAAUCUAACGCGUUAAAUUCGCCCGCCUGGAGAAGUACUGUCCGCAAGACGGAAACCUCAAAGGAAAUUGACGGGGGGUCCCGCACCAGCCCGUGGGAGGUACGUGGGUUUUAGAUACAAUACACACCCAAAGAAACCUUCCCAUUGGCCUU
rnacentral:rRNA from 1 species